UAAUACGAGUGCUCCAAGCGUUAUCCGGAAUUAUUGGGCGUAAAGGGUGUGUAGGCGGUUAUGUUAGUCUUCAGUCAAAACCUUCGGCUUAACCGAAGAUCUGCAGAAGAAACGGCAUGACUAGAGGAUGCGAGAGGUGAAUGGAACUCAUGGAGUAGGGGUGAAAUCCGUUGAUAUCAUGGGGAACACCAAAUGCGAAGGCAAUUCACUGGCGCACUCCUGACGCUGAAACACGAAAGCGUAGGUAGCGAAUGGG
rnacentral:rRNA from 1 species